rnacentral:miRNA from 1 species
UGAUUCUCUGUGUAAGCGAAA